rnacentral:ncRNA from 1 species
GCAGAGUAGAACGUUAUGCGUUAAGUGCCGUAUGAACAGGGAGUUGUCAUAUGGACGAAAAGCAAUCCUCAAAGGAGAGGUAAGCUUGCGGUGUAAGGUUCGCAUCCCGCUGC